rnacentral:rRNA from 1 species
CUACGGGCCGCAGCAGUGGGGAAUAUUGGACAAUGGGGGAAACCCUUAUCCAGCAAUGCCGCGUGUGUGAAGAAGGCCUGCUGGUUGUAAAGCACUUUCGGUUGGGAGGACUGCUUCUAGCACUAAUAUUGUUGGAAGUUGACGUUACCUUCAGAAGAAGCACCGGCUAACUCCGUGCCAGCAGCCGCGGUAAUACGGAGGAUGCAAGCGUUAAUCGGAAUUACUGGGCGUAAAGCGCGCGUAGGCGGCUAGAUCAGUCGGGUGUGAAAGCCCCGGGCUUAACCUGGGAACUGCAUCCGAUACUGUCUAGCUUGAGUACAGGAGAGGAGAGUGGAAUUCCACAUGUAGCGGUGAAAUGCGUAGAUAUGUGGAGGAACACCAAUGGCGAAGGCAGCUCUCUGGCCUGAUACUGACGCUGAGGUGCGAAAGCGUGGGGAGCAAACAGGAUUAGAUACCCUAGUAGUC